rfam:Salmo salar isolate Sally breed double haploid chromosome ssa13, whole genome shotgun sequence.
UGGGCCAAGAAUUGUAAGUCGCUCUGGAUAAGAGCGUCUGCUAAAUGACUAAAA